rnacentral:rRNA from 1 species
GUAUUUAAUUUAAAGUNUAAUCUGCCCACUGAUUUUUAAUUAAAGGGCUGCAGUAAUUUGACUGUACAAAGGUAGCAUAAUCAUUAGUCUUUUAAUUGAAGACUUGUAUGAAAGAUUUGAUGAGAUAUAAACUGUCUCUUUAUUACAAUUAAAAUUUAAUUUUUUAGUUAAAAAGCUAAAAUAUUUUUAAAAGACGAGAAGACCCUAUAGAGUUUUAUAGUUUUUAUUAUAAAAUAUUUAUAUAAAAUUUUAAUGUUAUAUUAUAAAAAUUAUUUUGUUGGGGAGAUAAAAAAAUUAAAUAAACUUUUUUAAAUAUUUUCAUGAAUAAUUGAGUAAUUGAUCCAUAUUUAUUGAUUAAAAGAAAAAAUUACCUUAGGGAUAACAGCGUAAUAUUUUUUUUUAGUACAAAUAAGAAAAAAAGUUUGCGACCUCGAUGUUGGAUUAAGAUAAAAUUUAAAUGUAAAAGUUUAAAAUUUUGAUCUGUUCGAUCAUUAAAAUCUUACAUGAUCUGAG